UACGUAGGGUGCAAGCGUUAAUCGGAAUUACUGGGCGUAAAGGGCUCGUAGGCGGCCAACUAAGUCAGACGUGAAAUCCCUCGGCUUAACCGGGGAACUGCGUCUGAUACUGGAUGGCUUGAGUUCGGGAGAGGGAUGCGGAAUUCCAGGUGUAGCGGUGAAAUGCGUAGAUAUCUGGAGGAACACCGGUGGCGAAGGCGGCAUCCUGGACCGACACUGACGCUGAUGAGCGAAAGCCAGGGGAGCAAACGGG
rnacentral:rRNA from 1 species